GCACGACCUGAUCCCUGAGGAAGAAGGGGUUAAUCUCAGCCUCCCCUUCGCCUUGCACAGAGGCGGGCGAUCUACUGACUGCUUGUGAGACAGAGGUUGGCCGUUAUCAGUGGGGAAGAAGAAUACUACCCCGCUGGUACUCCAACCAGAGGAGUCUGGGGUUGUGUGAACUGGGCUUGGCUUCCACUUAGAACUAGCCCCCCUUGGGGAAAACCUUCUGCGAUGGCACCUGGGGUUUGUGCCUCUUGAAGCAACGGAGGAGACCAGCUAGGUAUGUGCUUAGGACUCUGUGCAGCCAUUAAAGUUCUACAUCAAAAACUUAAAUUGUCCCUAAAAACCAGGAUAAAAUGGGGGAAGGAGACGGAGAGACAGACUCGAAGUUUGAUGCACGCACCUUUUCGGAGAUACUCUUUCAGCUGACUGAGUUCACCCUGAGCAGCCAACUGGUGGACGGACAAAGCUGGUGUUGGAAAAGAAACAAAACGUUAGAAUUACAUCUUUUCGUAUUUGCUGUCUGGAGAUACAGGAUUCUGGGACGGUCACCAUGAAGCCUAGAACGGCCGAGUCAGCGUGAAGCGAGGGAGCAGCUACAAGCGUCGCUGAUGACUCUGUGUUUGGAAUAUCGCCAGGGUCAAUCGUCCGUGGGGCUCGCGGUUUGUUACCACCCAGGAAGGUCUCAGCCAUUCUGACUUUACAGAUGACACCGGGGGACAGCCCGGACGUUCAGCCACAGUAAAGCGUGUAUCUAUGCCAAA